CUCUCUCACCACAGGUUUUAAAGCAAGACCUACCCAUUACAUUCCUCCUUUAACAACACCCCCACUGUAAUUUCUGUCUGGCAAAAGAAGCCACAAGCAUCAACAUAUCCAGAUAUGCUAUGUGGCCUACCCAAUUCUGGGAAGAAAACCUGGUUCUCUGUGUCUCCAGACCACAUGUGUGCCCUGGACAUUUCAAAGUGGAAAAGCAGUCCUUCCUGAACAUGCAACUGAAGAUAAGCAACAACUAGAGGACAACAACAGAUAAAAGGAAACAGGCACUGUAGUGAUAGGACAUGGAGUAAUGGGUUCAAACAGAAAUAGGAGUAAUUUAGGAUGGUGGCACAGCAGGGCAGUCUUCAGGACAGGGAGCCACAGGGGACCCCACAGGGCUUUAUCAGCCAAAGCCCAUCUCACCACAAGGCAAACCUGGAGAUGGUGGCCAGGCCCAGCCAAGAGUCCACAUGGUCACGCAAGUUCACAGCAACAAGAAGAGUUCAAGAUCAAUGGAGGAAGCAAAUCGUAUUAGCAACUCCUAAAUAAAGACCUUUUAGUGCCUCAGGACCCUGACACUA